ensembl:lncRNA
CAACUCUCUGCCCUUAGCUGAGGCACUAGACCUCAUUGAUGUCAUUUAUGUUUCAGUGGUGUUGGAUUUGAUUGGGUGGAAUUGUGUACUUGGAAAUUUCCUCAUAUUUGAAAAAUGCUGUAUGUAAAAAUAUCACUGGUCUAAAACUAAACUUUUAUGGUACAACUGACAAGUUGACACCACUUUCAAUCCCUUUCUGGAGCAUCUCAAUCGCACAUAUGGGAGAGUAUAACGUGACUGUUUAUGUACUUCAGAAAGAUUGAACUAACCAUCCUUUUUCAAUGGAAACAGGAAGUUGGUCUACCAAAACCCCCUAUACUCUCCUUCACCCCAAGUUGCUCGUAACACAUUCAGACAAUGAGACGUCAGAAACAUCUACGUCGAAGGCUCUUCUGAGAAAGGUGACAAAUAGGAGGCCUGUGAUUGGCUGGAGUUGUUUUUACAUGUGGUUGCGUUUAUGUCCAAGGUAUUGUGAUAAUGUAGACAGGCAUUUUCCACUGAGGUGGACCAAUCAGAUCUCGACACAAACAUCCGCUUCAAAGGCCCUCACCAUCGUCAGCUCCCCCAGCGCCAGUCUCUGAGAUGGAGAGAUCAAGAGCUAUUCUCAUCGCUCUCGUCUGUGCUUUGUUCUCCAGGAUCUCUGGAGCAGAAGUGGAGAUGAGGGUCAGACCAGGAGACGACGUGACUCUCUACAGCGACUGUAUUUGGAAGAGUGGAUUUAGUAUAGUUUGGUUUAGAAACUCCUCAUGUGAGCAUCAACCUCCUCUCAUGAUAUCAACUCCAGAUUUGAUACGUGGUGCUGAUCCACGUUACUCUGCUGUGUGGAAUCCCUCCAACAAAACUCAUGAUCUGCUGGUGAAGAACGUCUCUGAUUCAGAUGUGGGUCUCUACUUCUGCGCUAUGUAUGAGAAAAACAUCACCAAAGACGAAAAGGGAGUUUUACACCCUGUAGAUAUUUAUCACUACGGGAAAAGAACCACUCGACUCUCUCUCCUUGUUCCUUGUACUGAUCUCCCCCAGAUCCCCUCCACCCCUCCUGUCUCAGACUGUAGCGUCUGCUGGAAGCUGCUGGUCAGUGUGUGUCCUGUGUGUGUUCUCCUCUCCUCCACCUGUCUGUACUGCAUCUACAGACACACAAAGAAAGGUACUCUGUUUCUUUUUUUAUCGUCGUCCUUUCCUUCUCUACUUUUCUCACUCAAAUGUCUUAAACAAUAACAUUAAUUGAACUGAAUGUACUCAGUGUAACGCUGUAUUUUUGGUGUCUGCUGGAUCAGAACUCUCAGUACUUUCUCUCUCAAUUUCACCGUCCAUCACAUUUACA